rnacentral:rRNA from 1 species
UACGGAGGAUGCGAGCGUUAUCCGGAUUUAUUGGGUUUAAAGGGUGCGUAGGCGGGAUGCCAAGUCAGCGGUAAAAAUGCGGUGCUCAACGCCGUCGAGCCGUUGAAACUGGCGUUCUUGAGUGGGCGAGAAGUAUGCGGAAUGCGUGGUGUAGCGGUGAAAUGCAUAGAUAUCACGCAGAACUCCGAUUGUGAAGGCAGCAUACCGGCGCCCUACUGACGCUGAGGCACGAAAGCGUGGGUAUCGAACGGG